rnacentral:rRNA from 1 species
UGGGGAAUAUUGCACAAUGGGGGAAACCCUGAUGCAGCGACGCCGCGUGAACGAAGAAGGUAUUCGUAUCGUAAAGUUCUGUCCUAUGGGAAGAUAAUGACAGUACCAUAGAAGAAAGCUCCGGCUAAAUACGUGCCAGCAGCCGCGGUAAUACGUAUGGAGCGAGCGUUGUCCGGAAUUAUUGGGCGUAAAGGGUACGCAGGCGGUUUAAUAAGUCGAAUGUUAAAGAUCGGGGCUCAACCCCGCAAAGCAUUGGAAACUGAUAAACUUGAGUAGUGGAGAGGAAAGUGGAAUUCCUAGUGUAGUGGUGAAAUACGUAGGUAUUAGGAGGAAUACCAGUAGCGAAGGCGACUUUCUGGACACAAACAGACGCUGAGGUACGAAAGCGUGGGGAGCAAACAGG